rnacentral:lncRNA from 1 species
CCCAUCCCAGGUCAUCUAGUUAAACCUCCACAUUGUGUAAAAUUGAUGUGAUUUACUCAAAUAACUUAUUGACUAGACAGUAGUUCUCCAAAGUUCUGUCAGCUGUCCCCUUAAAAUAUAUUUCAGGUACUUACUCUUUUUUAUAUAAGGGUAUGAGUAAACUAUUAAAAGACAACACUUAGAAUUUUAAAUAUAAGUAGCAUUCCUCAUCUCCCCAAUUAGGCUGCAAGCUUCUUAAGGGCAUGUAUUUUAUGGAUGUAUAUCCCCCUCAGUAACACAAACCUUUGGAAUUGCACUUUGUGAAUAAAAUGACCCUGUCACAUGUUCUUCAAUGCUAGACAGAAUCAAACUGGCAAGAGCUGGGAAACUGAUAAGAUGCCUGGGAGUUAAGGAUUCUUGACUUCUCAGACAAAAAGUCUUCUGGGGUCAAAAAUCUCUGCCACAAACAAAAUCUGUUCCUUUCUGCCAAUGGCUCAUGUUGCCUUUGGAGGCAGAAACCUAAUAUGAAUGUAUCUUCAGGAAGCUGGGCACAUCAGAGCCAAGACAGAAAUUGGACACAAACUCUAAGAAUAUGGUGGUUAUAAUUCAGAUGAUACAGUUGUGAAUGGAGUUUCCUGAAGACAGUAAUAAGAAAUGUGGAUUUCCAGUCUCAAACUCCAACCAGUUGUGUCAGAGUGCUACUAACCUGUUUCAGGAGGUACUAUCUUCCAACUACUGAACAUUUUUCAUUAAAGAGCAAGCUCCCUACAGGAAGAUACCAAAUUUUAUCUUUUUCCUUAACUAAAGGCAUAGUCCACUUAAACCUAGUUCACUAAAUAUUACCUAGGAUCUGGUCACUCAAUUGCUAUAGUAGCUUCCAAAUGGCAUCUAUAUACCUCUGUUCUCUGAGAACACAGUUUAAGUGCCUAGGCUCUUUCAUGAAUGAAGAACCUUGAUCCAAUCAGGACUUAACAGAAAAUCAUUACCAGUUCACAUUUAGCUAAGCUCACCUCUUGGAGUUCAAUAAUGGAGUUUCUGUAUAACCUCUCAAACAUGUAUGUAGAAUAACACCCAAGGAAAAAUGAAAGCUGCAAAACAGAUUGCUAUAAACUAAUCUGCAGUGUCCUAAGACCUUUGCAUUACCUCAAACACUGACCUUACCAGCUUAAUGGCAUUCUGUCCAAACUAUUCCUAUCAUAAUUAAUUUUAAUGUCUGGCUGGACACGGUGGCUCACAGCUGUAAUCCCAGCACUUCGGGAGGCCAAGGUGGGCAGACAGCUUAAGGCCAGGAGUUCGAGACCAGCUUGGGCAACAUGGUGAAACUCCAUCUCUACUAAAAAUAGAAAAGAUUAGCCAGGCAUGGUGGUGCACACCUGUGGUCCCAGCUACUCAGGAGGCUAAGGUGGGAGGACUGCUUAAGCCCAGGAGGCAGAGGUUGCAGUGAGCCAAGAUCGUGCCACUGCACUCCAGCCUGGGCGAUGGAGUGAGACUCUGUCUCAAAAAAAAAAAAAAAAAAUUAUAUAUAUACAUACAUGUAUGUAUAUAUAUAUGUAGGUGAUCCCUACAAUACUCUAACCUCUCAGUUCCCUGACUUACUCUUUCAAUGAUCUAGAUUAGGGAUUGAUUGACAAACUAGAAACUAGUACCUUCUCAGUACCAAUAAUGAAAACCUCCCAAAUCUCAAUCUCAAGCAUCCUACUGUCUUAACAUCAUCACUCAUCCUUCCAUCUCUUUCCCUCUAGUACCCCAAAAAUUUUUUCAACACGACAGUCCCCUACAAUUCACAAAUGUAACCACCUUUUUCAUUCUUCACCCACUCCAUUCCUGAUUCUCUCUUUACCGAGCCUUUAGAUUCUACUCCCCAUCAUUACAAUCACCCCCGCAUCCUCCACUCCACUGCCCUUCUCUCCAUUUGUUGUAUUUAUCUGUUAACCUUAAGGCAGAUUUUUAAAACUGCCUAUUCCUUACCAGAGUCUGCUCAGUAUCAGGUAGCUGGAGAAAAAACACAACCAUGGCAGCUUGUCUUAUUUUAACCUCAAGUUGGCCACACUGGAUGCCCAUCGAUCCUACUUUCUCAUCUCUCAACCCCCAACCCCCACCCUCAUCCUCAGUUUAUUUCACUGAGAAAAUAGAAGCCACCAAAAUAACUUUAACAGAAUCCCACUGCCCUACCAACUACCCAAGGAAGGUUGAAUGUGUGCCCAAGACCCCAUCCUCCCUUGCCUACUCGAGGUCCUCUCCUCUAUUUUUCCUCUCAAACAUUCCUAUCAUUAACAAAAAGGCUAUAAUUUCCUGCAUCUUAAAACCCGAAUGUUCUGAUUAAUUUUCCCUGUCAAACCAUCAACAGGAAAAGAAGCUAUAAUAUCCUGCAUCUUAAAACUAUCACGUAUUACUUUCCUGGAAACCUGAUAGGAAGAAUUGGAAUCGUUGUCUUCAAUUCUUCAAAUCUCUGUUGGACCCACUCCUUUCAGGCUUUGGCUUGCCACCAUCGCGCUGAACCUACUCUGGGGGAAGUUAUCAGUUCUCUCUUUAUUGGUCCAUUUUGAGCCCUCAUUUACUUCACCUAUCAGCAACACGGGACAGUUAAUCAUCGCUCCUUGAAACUAUUAUUCAUUUGGUUUAGGGGACUACCCUUGCUUUUUGAGACAGGGUCUUGCUCUGUCACCCAGGCUGGAGUGCAGUAGCACCAUCUUAGCUCACUGCAGCCUCCAACUCCUGGGCUCAAGUGAUCCUCCUGCCUUAGCCUCCUAAGUAGCCAGGACUACAGGCAUGUGCUACCAUGCCCAGUUCAUAUUUUUAUUUCUUAAUUUUUUGUAGAGGAGACCUAGUCUCUUUCCCACGCUAGUCAUGAGCUCCUGGGCUCAGAUGCUGCUGCCCCGCCUUGGCAUCUUGAAGUGCUACAGGCCUGAGCUACCACACGCAGCUUAUUUUUUAAUAUAUCCACCAGUGGAAUACCCUUCUUUGAAGGUCACUACUCCUAACCCAACCAUACUGGCAGCUCCCUCAUUUGCUGGCUCCUCACCUCCCCAAAUCUAAACAUAAGCAUGUGUCAGUGCUCGGUCCUUGUACCUCUUCUCUGUCUGCAUUCAAUGCACGGUACUCUCCUGUCUCAGGAUGAUGCCGCCCCUGUGUAGCUCUCAGGCUGGGCCUUUCUCCUGAACUCGAGUCUGAUACAUGCUAAUGCCUAUGUGACACCCCCACUUGGAAGUCUAAAAGACAUUUAAAACAAUGUCUAAAACCAAAAUUCCUCUGCACACAGCACCCCACCCCCAAUCUAUUCUUAAGUCUUUCCCAACUCAGCCAGUGGCCAUUCCAUUGUUCUGUCAUUACUCAGCCAAAAACUUUGCAGGCAUCCUUGACUCCUCACUUACCACACUACAUCCAACCCAUUCACAAGUCCUGUCCAUUCUACCUUCAGCAUGUCUCGAAUCCAACUGCUUUCACCACCUCCACCAGCUUCAAUCAGGUUCAGAUCUCUACCACAUCUCACCUGAAUUAUUCCAAGAGCCUUCUAGCUGGUAGCCUGCUUCCACCCCUGCCCCCUUAUAGUCUAUUCCCAACAAAGGAGUCUGAGAGAUAUUUUAGGUCACAUUAUGUGACUUUUCUGCCUCACUGGCUUCUCAUUUAGAAUAAAAAUCAAAUGCCUACACCCCCAACCUCUUUCCUUACCACUUUCUUCCCUCUUAUCCCUCUCCAGCCACAGUGAUCUACUCAGUGUUCCUUGAACCUGGCAGGAGAAUCCUUUGUAUAUAGCAUUUUCUCUUCUUACAACAUUUUUUCUCACGGAUAAAUGUCCUUCUCUAACUUUCUGUAGGUUUCUGCUCAAAUGCUUCCUUAUCCCUGAGGCUUUCCCUGAUCACCCUCUAUAAAAAUGGGGUGGGUGCACACACCUUCACUUUUUGUACAUUACAAAAACUAUAACAGGAUUCUUGACUGAUUUUGUAUAUUCGUAACAGUGUGCAGUACAUAAAAAUCCUUUUUUAAAAUUGCUGAACUAAUCCAUAUUUAUCACCAUCUGACAUACUCUAGAUUUCUCUUCCUGCUGGAAUGAAAACUUCAAGAACAUAGAAUAGCGCCUGGCGCCCAGUAAUUGCUCAGUAAAUACUCAGUGAAUAUAAAUGAUCUACUCUGAACUUUUAGUGUGUUCCUUUUUACUAAAAGCUUAAUAGUAAAAGACCACAUCUUAAUCAAAGGUUGUUACU